UCAAGAGGGAUCACCCGAAAUUUAAUGGCAACUGAAUUUCGGCAACCGGGCAUAGGAGUCGGAAUGUCGCAAAACUCACCGAGUCAAAGCGUUUCGCCGUUUGCAAGAAGAAGUUUGAUGUGGAACAAGUACCAGAAGCAUACAUGCUCAAGAGGGAUCACCCGAAAUUCAAAGGCAGCUGAAUUUCGGCAAUCAGGGCAUCGAAGUCGGAAAGGGAAACUCACCAGAGUCAAAGCGUUUCGCCGUUAGCGGAAGAAGUUUGAUGUGGAACAAGUACUAGAAGCAUACAUGUUCAAGAGGGAUCACCCGAAAUUUAAAGGCAACUCAAUUUCGGCAACCGGGGCAUUGAAGUCGGAUGGCGCGAAACUCACCGAUUCAAAGCGUUUCGCCGUUUGUGGAAGAAGUUUUACGUGGAACAAGUACCAGAAGCAUACAUGCCCAAGUGGGAUCACCCGAAAUUCAAAUGCAACUCAAUUUCGGCAACCGGGGCAUCGAAGUCGGAAUGCCGCGAAACUCACCGAGUCAAAGCGUUUCGCCGUUUAGCGGAAGAAGUUUGAUGUGGAACAAGUACUAGAAGCAUACAUAUUCAAAAGGGAUCACCCGAAAUUCAAAGGCAACUCAAUUUCGGCAAACGGGGCAUCGAAGUCGGAAUGCCGCGAUUAGAAGCAUUCAUAUUCAAGAGGGAUCACCCGAAAUUCAAAUGCAACUCAAUUUCGGAACCGGGGCAUCGAAGUCGGAAUGCCGCGAAACUCACCGAUUCAAAGCGUUUCGCCUUUGCAGAGAAGUCUUGAUGUGGAACAAGUAGCAGAAGCAUACAUGCCAAGUGGGAUCACCCGAAAUUCAAAUGCAACUCAAUUUCGGCAACCGGGGCAUCGAAGUCGGAACGCCGCGAAACUCACCGAUUCAAAGCGUUUCGCCCUUUGCGGAAGAAGUGUGAUGUGGAACAAGUUGCAGAAGCAUACAUGCUCUAGAGGGAUCACCCGAAAUUCAAAGGCAACUGAAUUUCGGCAACCGGGGCAUCGAAGUCGGAAGUCGCGAAACUCACCGAGUCAAAGCGUUUCGCCGUUAGCGGAAGAAGUUUGAUGUGGAACAAGUACUAGAAGCAUACAUGUUCAAGAGGGAUCACCCGAAAUUUAAAGGCAACUCAAUUUCGGCAACCGGGGCAUUGAAGUCGGAAUGUCGCGAAACUCACCGAGUCAAAGCGUUUCGCCGUUUGCGGAAGAAGUUUGAUGUGGAACAAGUACUAGAAGCAUACAUGCUCAAGAGGGAUCACCCGAAAUUCAAAGGCAACUCAAUUUCGGCAAACGGG
rnacentral:lncRNA from 1 species